GGGAUAAUGCAGUAAGAAGGCCCUUACCAGACCCUGAUACCUCAACGUUGGAUUUCCCAGUCUCCAGAACGGGACCAAGAUCGGAUCUGGAAUGGCUACCCCUGCUGUUUUACCAUAAGCAGAGCAAGCCAAAUGCUAAGAGGACCCUUAAGAUUUCCUAACAAUAGGUAUGCGUGGAAAAGACAGAUGGCUUCCUUUGCACCUGAUAGAUUCCCACUGACUGAACAUCUGUGAGAGGAAUGGAAGUGAACCUGCUUGUCAAAUGCCUCUUUAAAAAGCGAGGGAAGAUAAUUGCAAGUGAGCUGGAAGUGCUGCCAAGAUAUGACCUCCAGGAAGGCCCAGAAGACAAGUAAUAUUGUGUGGACUGCUACAGUACAAUGUCUAACUGAUGCAGAAUGAAGAAUCAAUUUGAAAUUAAGAUGAGUAAAGGCAUCCAGCACUUAUAGUUAUAGCAAAAAACAUUGUCACCAGGCCCUGGGAGAGAUGAGGACACCUCUCUUCCCUUCUCAGGCUCCCUACCCCUGUCAAACUCUAGCUCUUAAAGGCUGUCAUCCUCCAAGGGUAUUCCCUAUGUACAGCAUAGCAUCUCUGUUACCCUUUGAAUUCAACAAUACUAAUCUCCUCCAACAUUCAUUCAUUCCUUUAGUCAAAAGUCAGCUGUCAAAUGCAAGGCACAAGUACAAAUUUAAGGAAUUUAUGGUCAGUAUUUGGCAUGUCAUUUUAUGGAUUGUCUACAGGCACAUAAAACAUACAUUGAGGAUACUGAUCUAAGAUGCAUGACACACAAGUAAAUUGGGAAAAACAUGACUCUGAGUUCAAAAGUUCUUAUUUUUUCACAGUCCUCAGAGUAUCCUAUAGGACCCUUGAAAAAAUAAAUUUGCAGAGUGUGAAUGUUCAUUUACUCUCACCUUCAGAAAAGGGAUUUUCCACAUUUAUAAAAGAAAACUUGUGACUAUUUUAGAUAAUAGAGCACAGUAAGAAUUCUCAAACUAGUAUAACCCUAUUUCUGUAUACCACAAAGAUAUCUCAUAGGCAUGUUCCUCUGGAGGACUUGCGAAUUAUGCUUUUCUUCCUCCUUGUCUCAGUAAUCUUGCUGUAGUAUAAUCAAAACAGAGCCUGAUGUGAAACCAGAGCCUUGAGUUUUCAUCCUUUGUUACUUAAAAGCUGAUAUAAGAAAAAUUACUUAACUUGUCUUAACCUCAGUUUUUUUUCUAUAAAAUGUAUCUCACAAGGUAGUUAUGAGGAUUGAAGGAAAUGAAAAAAUGCUUAUUUGGUUUUGAAUCCUGGUUUGGUCUAGUUAUCAAUAAGACUCAUUAAAAUG